CCAAGAAACGGCCCUCAGAUCAAUCUGCUGCUGUUUCAGGACUACAGUUGAGUUGUCAAAGUGAUUUGGAGCAGCAGGAGAACAAGGAGGAGAUGGCGCAGACAGCUACAUCUGCAGAGAACAGGAUGGCUAAAGAUUCAUCAAAGGGAGUGCUUGCGAAGCACAGAGCAGAAAAGAAACCAAAUUCCAGGCCUGACGUUGAUGAUAAAGAUAUCAGUGUUACAGAAAGUGUUACCCCAAAAAACCCAGGAGAACACAUCUAAUGACUCCUCUGAAAACAAAAUGAUUCAAUCUUGUCAGAAAUGAUUGUACUGCUGUCCACAUCAUUGAGUAUGAAGGCGGCAAGGCAACGAAAGAAGAAAUAGAUACUCCAGUGAUGGUGAAAUGAAUGUUGCUGUGCUUUCAAAAACACUGAGACUGAAAUGCGGUGAUACUGAUUUAUAUUAUUGAAGGAAAUAGUAAAAAGAGGAGGAAGAAGAGUUACUAAACCUUCAGAUAACUUUGGAACAGAACAGCUUCAGAACAGUGGAAGUGCAACCUUGUUACUCUUGCUUGACCUCUCAGUGGCUUUCAGUAUUGACCAUCGUAUCCUCCUGAACCGUCUCUGUGAGUUGGGAGCAGGUAGUAAUGUGUUGCAGUGGUACCGCUCCUACCUACAAGUCUGGGUUCAGAUAGUAGCAUUGGCUAGACCCUGUUUUACAUGUCUGAAUCCUCUGGAUUUGUUUUAUUUGCUUUUAAGUGUUUUUCUAAUGCGGUUUUAGGUUGUGUGUCUUUGUUUUAAUGAUAUAUCAUUUGCUUUUUAGACUUUUGAGAGAUUUUUCAAUUUUAAGCAGUUUAUAAAUGCUUUUUAAUAAAUAAGUAGGAAGUGCAGCCUACAUACACACAGCCUUUAGGCUACAAUUCUAUUGCACACUUAACCUGGGAGUAAGUCCCAUUUCACUCAUUGGAGUGUACUUCUGAGUCAAUAGGCAUAAGAUUGCACUGCUACAAAAUUGAUCAGCGACUAUGCUAAAAUGCCGCCUUACCUACACCUGCAAGAAGCACUGGCCUUGCCCUCUGUUGCACCUGGUAAUCUAGUUGCAGAAAUGAUCCACCUGGCUGGGCUUUGGAGAGUUCUGUGAUAAGCAGGUAUCAGCAGGUUUCACUUUUCCAAGGCUGGAUCUGCAGUGAAUGAUUGGAAAUGCUCCGGUGACUGAAUUUUCUCCUGCCAUGCCACUGUCAGGGCAUAGGAAGCCUGUAGGAUUAAACAGAGAGAAGGAAAAAACAAAGCACAAUUCUACUUUUCCUAAAGGGUAGGGGGAACACCACUCCAGACACUGCUUCCUUGCAAUAGUAUCCAUAGCAAAAGAGAAAGAUGCUUUGGCCCUGUUAGGAAUAUAUCCAUAACACAGGGCAGGAUGCAUGGUGUAUAAAGAACUUUGCAAUGCUAAUUUUCCAAGGGUAUAUUUGCAGCUCCUGUUCAGAUUAUCAUUGGCAACACCAGUACUCUGUUUGAUCCAUACUGCCUCAAGUAAUAUGGCUGGUGAAUGCAGCUUUGUAAAAACUGUGGGCUGAAUGUGUGCAGUUCUGCACAUUUCUUCACAAAAUAAACUUUGCUGAUCUCAAUGGGACUUGCCAGGAAAGUGUGUAUAGGACUGCAGCAGGUUGGUUACACUUGAGUUCCAUUGAUUUUAGUAGGAACUAAGUCAUGACUAACUUUCCCCAUUGAUUUCAAGGGAACCAAUACACUGUCUUCAACACAUGCAGUAGGAUCAGAGCCAGACAGUUCAUAGAUCAAAAUCCCAAUGUCUUCAGAAGAAGAUGAAGUGUAUACUCCCUCUCUGCACAAUCUGUGCUAGUAAAGACCUUCUCUAUUUAGUCCUAAGCUUCUUUCCAGAAGCAAAUAUAGUCUCAAAUCCCUGACAAUUUCUCUUACUCUUUUUAAAGUGUUGAACAUUGUUUGCCCAAGAGUCUGAAGGUUAAAGAAUUUCCAGAUCCACUACGAUUCUCUUCCAAGAGUAAUGGGAUCAAGAAAAGACCUAUCAUGAAAUGUGCUUCAAGGGAAAUAUUGUUUUAAACAAAGAAUGAAGCUUUGCUAGAACAGAAUAUAAAAUCUAUUUAGGAAUAAAAAUAAGAAACAUUAAAAAAUAAUCCCAAAAGAUUGUAUCAAACAAAAUCAAGGUAGGAGUACAAAAAUGUCCAAUGAAACAGUCAUCAAUUCUCCUCUUUUUCCAUAAUUUGCCACAGGCUCUGUUGCUGUGGGUUGCAGAAGGCUACAGAAGAAAAUUAAGAAAGCUGAAUUAAAUAAUAUUAAUAAUUAUGUCAUUGAUCAUUCACCUCCAAUGUGAAUAGGAAAUGUAGAGCAGGGUGGAAAACUUCAUACAUGUCAUGUAAUUGACUAAGCAACAUACCUAGUUUCAUUUAUUUAUUUUUUUAAAAAUCACAAAUUAUAAUUCUAGUUCUAUUUAUUUCAUUGAAAGAAGAAAGCCACCUGCCUCCUUCAUUUAUUUGUUUGGGUAUUUGUUUUGUCAGCUUCUGGGCGGGGGGAGGCUUCCUUCUCAGAGACUCUGUGGGAUAUAAUAUAAAUUAAACACAGAAAAGGUCAAAAACUUGUUUUCAAACUUUUCUUGAGUACAAUUAGCGUAAUAUUUUAACAGCUGGCAGCUGCAGUAAUUACUUUUAGAUUAUACAUGGAAAUCUGUUGAAAUAUAAUUAGUCUGAUCUAUGAACCAGGUAAUUAUAGUAAACACUCCCACAUUUUCUUAGACCUCAUUAACUUAUUUCCUUUUAAAAUUGCUAGAUAAUGACAGUACAUUAGAAGUUUAUCCAUAAAAUGACACUGAAUAAUUGGAACCCAUGUCCUGGGACAUUAAAGGACAAAGUAGCACUUCAGUGUUCAGUGUCCUGAUGCAUUUUAAAGUACCAAUGCUCAUUUUAAAGUACCAAUGCUCAUAUCAGCAAAUAGUGUGUGACUUUGAGAGAGAAUGGACACAUCAAAGCAGAAACAAGGUGUGAGGGGACAAUAUGGUUCGUCCCCAAUCUCAGCUUGCUCCUAAGAGCCAACUAAAAUAUUGAUAUAAUGCAAAAUGAAUGUCUUAAUACCCAUAAGAUCUAUUUACGUAAGUAUGUCAU
ensembl:lncRNA